rnacentral:lncRNA from 1 species
CUUGGACACAUGAGAUGUGACUUCUGGCUCUCACCUUUUGUAUUUAUAAAACAGAGCAUUGAAAUAAACGAAAUAGCUCAUGUGGACACUGCCGACAGUCGAUGGACCAGGAAUGCUUGUGGAAUCUUCAUCUGACAUGAGUCAUGAGUUAGAUGCUUCCUGCUGCUGGGCAGUGGGCAGCGCCAGCCUUCUCGUAGAGCUGCCUCCUCUGUGCAGCAUCCACCGAGGUGAGGUGCCCACGAGACCUCCCACUGAGCACCUGCAUCUCAGUCCUCAGAUAAACACAGACAGGGCAGAGAGAUGUCCCACUCCUUCCUGGGAGGAGCCUCACAUUAAGGAGACCAAGAUGAGACAGAGGGGGAUCUGGGAGUGGAGAUGGGGCUCCAGAAGACUCAGUGACUCUGGGUUAUGAAGGGUGAAGAGGAGCACCUGGGGCUGACUGAACUCCUGGGGGAAGGCACGGUGCCUUGUUCCAUUACAAUCAGCAGAAGAGAAUGGCCAAUUGUUAAGAGAGUUUAGAGUACCAUCAACCUAACAGCUGCCACAUGAUGUGGAGGGUGACUAUCUCUUUUAUGACACACCACUCUUCCCAAGCAGCAGGGGUAAGCAAGACGGGAGUCAUAACUCCUGUGCACUGCUGUGUGCUCAGCUCUUGGUUGUGUGGUCAUUGAGCCCUCACACGCAUCCGGAGAGGUGGUUCUCAUGCUAAAGCAUCAUGGUCAUUAAG